UCAUUCCACCGUGGACGUGCUGAAUUGCACAGACACAGGUUGUACAUAGAUUGGAGGCCAAGGGCUCAUUCUCAGUACUCUCAUCAUCACCACCAGUACCUCAUCCCUCAAUAUCCUCCUCCUCCUCCUUCACUGCCUUUCUAUCUUCCUCCCAAUCAUCACUAUCACUACUCAUCAUAUGCUGCUACUGCUAGAUCAUUAUACACCUCCCCUCAAUAUUCUCACCUUCCUAAUCCUAAUUACGCUGCCCCUUCUCCUACAAUAUCUCACCCUCAAUAUUACAAC
rnacentral:lncRNA from 1 species